rnacentral:lncRNA from 1 species
AUGGAUGCACUGAUAGAGAAACACACCCCACAUCCAGGGACAGAGACAAAUCCAGAGNCCACGCGCGCGCGCGCGCGCACGCACACACACACACACACACACAGAGUAAUGGCCAAACACAGAGACACAGAUAGAUGCACUGAUAGAGAAACACACCCCACAUCCAGGGACAGAGACAAAUCCAGAGGCCAGGAGCAGACACAGGUAUGCACAGAGGGACACCCUCAGAGACUCUCUGGCCCUGCUGAUAAAGGCAGACAGGUGCACGGCCAUGCACAGGCAGGACCAGACAGGUGUGCCAUUGGAUGGCACCUUCAAGGACACUCUGGCCCUGCUAAUAAAGGCAGACAGGUGCACAGGCAUGGACAGGCAGGGCCAGACAGGUGCGCCCCAGGACGGCACCCUCACAGACACUCUGGUCCUGCUGAUAAAGGCAGACAGGUGCAGAGACACGAACUGACAGGACCAGACAGGUGCGCCCAGAGACACCACGAUAGGCAGGCGUGCAGGCACAGCGAGGCAAGCCCACAGGAGAACGCCCGGACUCACACUGACUCACACACUGGUACGAUUGCAGGGCCGGCGCACACGCGGUCAGACACACGGAUCCGCCUCCGUCCGACGGGAGCCCAGUCUCCGCUGCCCCUCGCAGGUCCGCGCCCCUCCCCUGAUCCACCCCGCCCGCAGUCCGCACGCCACUCACCUGCGCCCGCACGCCCCCUCCCCCAGGCCAGGGUCGGUCCGCGCUGGGUGAGCGGAAUGAGGGACCCCGCCCCUCCCCCUCUCCUCCAGCCCCGCCCGCUGCCGUCUCACCCGCGCGGCUCGGCCAGGACAAUGACCCGCGCCCGCUGGGCCCGCCCGGCCGCACUGCGCCUGCGCGGACGGGCGGACUACACUACCCAAAGACCCGCGCGCUACCGUCUCCGCUCUGGUGUUCGCCAAAGGAACGGAACGAAACCGAGCAGAGCCGAGCCCAACCGAGCGGAACCGAGCCCACCUGAGACCGGAUUGCGCCCUUCCAUCUCCCAGAGGUCCCAGCAGCACCGCUGCCAAGGAGAUGGCCUGUGUGUGGGGAGGAGGGAGGAAGGGGGCGGGGCGAGAGGGAGGAGAAGAGGGAGGAGGAAAGAGGAGGAAGACGGAGGAGGAUGA